UCAAUUAAUUGUUAUUUUGCGUGUCAAAAUGUCAUUCCGUCACAUAUGGAAUUGCCCUGUAUAUAAUUUAAAAGAAAACAUACUGAAAUACAAUCUUAACAGUUGAAGUUACUAGCUUUUUGAGAGCAAUAAUAGUGAAAUCAAUGUGAUGUAGUGACCAUUAGAAAAAACUUUGUUAAUGACCACUUUUGCAUAGAUUAAAAAAAAAAAACAGAAAAAAAGAACUUAAUUUUGUCUCAAAAUUGUAAUUAAAGUAUAAAUUUCAUUAGUUUCUAGAUAAUUGAUAAUAUUUGUUAUUUAUAAACUAAGAUCAAUUUUAAAUUGGAUGAUAUUCCGUCCUUAUUUCAAUAUGAAGAGCAUUUAUGAUAUGAAUGAAUAAGAUUUAGCAAAAAUACAGAAAUAUUGUAUAAUUUUAUUAGAAAACGAUGAGAUUACCAUUUUAUUUAUAUCUGUCUAUUUUUUCUAGGAAAGGUACACGGUUCUCUUGCUCGUGCUGGCAAAGUUAAAGGACAAACUCCUAAAGUAGAAAAACAAGAAAAAAAGAAAAAGAGGACUGGUCGAGCUAAACGAAGAAUGCAAUUCAAUCGCAGAUUUGUUAAUGUAGUUGUUACGUUUGGCAGGAAGAAGGGACCAAAUUCCAAUUCAUAAUUUAUGUAUGUUUUUAAGUUGGUAUUAAAAAUAAAUUUGCUAUUGAAUUGA